rnacentral:tRNA from 1 species
GGUUGUGGCUUAGAGGUAGAGCACUUGCCUAGCACAUGUGAGGCACUGGGUUCAAUCCUCAGCACCA